GUAGGUGGCAAGCGUUGUCCGGGAAUUAUUGGGCGUAAAGCGCGCGCAGGUGGUUCUUUAAGUCUGAUGUGAAAGCCCCCCGGGCUCAACCGGGGGAGGGUCAUUGGAAACUGGGGAACUUGAGUGCAGGAGAGGAAAGUGGAAUUCCACGUGUAGCGGUGAAAUGCGUAGAUAUGUGGAGGAACACCAGUGGCGAAGGCGACUUUCUGGCCUGUAACUGACACUGAGGCGCGAAAGCGUGGAGAGCAAACAGGAUUAGAUACCCUGGUAGUCCACGCCGUAAACGAUGAGUGCUAAGUGUUGGGGGGUUUCCGCCCCUCAGUGCUGCAGCUAACGCAUUAAGCACUCCGCCUGGGGAGUACGGUCGCAAAGACUG
rnacentral:rRNA from 1 species